AUUGUGAUCAUUCAAAGUUUAAUUUAAAAGUUUUUUAACGAACAAAGUUCAUCCUGUUGAUGUCAUGUGGGUUGGUUACACUUUACAUCCAUAGGGAUGAGUAAUUCCAUCUGACCGUUCGAGGAUACACUCGGACAUUGUGCUCCCGUCAUUGGUAGUUCUCCUGUCAGUUUAUCUCCUGCAUUAUUCAAAUGAGCCCGCGACAAAUUCCAUAUGAAACUACAACAAUCAACAUGCCUUUAUUACAUUACACCCUUUCACCUUUCACACCUGUUCCAAUAAAUUUCGCAAUUGCAAAGUA
rnacentral:sRNA from 1 species